CUGCUUCAGGUGAGGCUGAAGAUGAUGAGAUCAAUGACGAGAUAUGUGAUGAUAAUGAGGAUGUGGAUGGUGUUGAGGUGGACUUUGUAGAGCUCACAACUGUUUUAGAUGAAGAUGAUGGCUUACAAUUCCAACUUCCGAAACAUCAUCGAUGUGCCUGCCACUUAUUAAACUUGGUUUCCACGGUGGACGCAGCAAAAGCCUGUUCAAAUGAAGCUUACAAGAAGCUGUCCCGAUCAGCAUUCUCUAAGUGUCAUGCACUAUGGAAUAAGUGUGGCAGAUCUGCUGCUACAGAGAUUAUAGAAGACGCUUGCAAAAUUCAGCUGAUCCGUCCCAACGCAACAAGAUGGAAUUCCUUAUUUCUCGCCAUUGAGAGAAUGCUUCGAAUAAUAAAAAAUCAGGGAGAGGGGGCUAUCAGAACCGUCUGCUCUUCACUUAAGUUGCCAAUGUUGAGUCCAGUUUAAAUUAUCCUUGUGGAGGAGUAUGCCAGAACCAUGAGCCCCGUUGCCAAAGCCCUCAACAUUCUUCAGGCUGAAAUUGAUGUUGAGAUGAUAUGGCUUCUGCCUACUCUGACCCUCCUCAUCUCGAAACUUGACCGAAUUGGCAUUACCUCCAGGUACUGCAAACCUCUGGUUGAUUCCCUCCAAAAGGCCUGCAGCAGCCCUUUGGAGACAUGCUGGUGGAGCCAGAGUUAAUUGCGGCUGCAAUCCUUGUCCCGAAAUUUAAAACAUCCUUGACAUCAGAUGAAAACAUUGUCAAACUAGGCCUGGACUACAUCAAGGACCAUCUGGAGGAAGAGACUUUGAAUCAUCUGCCAGUUGUUGGUUCCAGUGGCUCUGAGGAAGAGGACUUCUUUGCGAGCAUGAAGCCUACUCAUGGUCAGGAAGGUAUCAAGCAGUUAGAUGGCUACCUUGCCUGCAAAGCUGAUGACAAAAUAAUUAUCAAGUCCUUCCCAUCAAUCUGUAAGUUGUCUUAGAAGCUCAAUACUGCUUUACCCGCCUCUGCAGCUUGUGAACGUCUUUUAAGCACAGCAGGGCUUAUUUUCAUCCCAGGAGGGCAAGAAUGGACUCAAACAACUUUGAGAAUCAGCUCCUUCUCAAGCUGAAUAAAAGAUAUUGCAACUUUAGUUAGAUUGUUAAUUAAGAUCAUCAGUGC